UACGUAGGGUGCAAGCGUUGUCCGGAAUUAUUGGGCGUAAAGAGCUCGUAGGCGGUUCGUCGCGUCGGCUGUGAAAACCUGAGGCUCAACCUCAGGCCUGCAGUCGAUACGGGCGGACUAGAGUUCGGCAGGGGAGACUGGAAUUCCUGGUGUAGCGGUGAAAUGCGCAGAUAUCAGGAGGAACACCGGUGGCGAAGGCGGGUCUCUGGGCCGAUACUGACGCUGAGGUGCGAAAGCGUGGGGAGCAAACAGG
rnacentral:rRNA from 1 species